rnacentral:tRNA from 1 species
UCCCUGGUGGUCUAGUGGUUAAGAGUCAGUGCUUUGGGUGCUGCGGCCUGGGUUCAAUCCCUGGUCUGGGAA